rnacentral:tRNA from 1 species
UAGAUGAAUGCUCGCUGGAUAGGGCACUUAGCUGUUAACUAAGAUUUUGUAGGAUCGAGGCCUUCUCAUCUAGC